rnacentral:lncRNA from 1 species
AAUCUAUUAACAACACUCUUGGAAGUCUCUUGAUCAUUUAGUGACAGUAGAAGAAACACGAAUGAAUGUUGCAUCAUGUGAUUGUUCUUAUAGCUCAAAGAAGGCACAUUUAUCAUGGGUCAUGAAUUAGCACCAGAAUUGUAAACUGUGAUCUAUGGACUAAAUGUUUGUUUUUAAACUAAAAAAUAUGAGCAUGGAAAUUUGUUACAUAUAAUUCUAUGCAUAGCAUAUAUAAUAUAUAUAUGUAAUUUCAUUAAAAUCAAUUACAUAUACCUGUUCAUAUAUGUGCAUAUAAAUAUGAUUGUUUCUCAUGCUUUAAUAACAAAGGUGAGUAGUUACUUACAACACAGAGGGUAUAAGCACACUAGUUUCUGUCUUUAACAAUAUAUAUUUUCUGCUAACCCUGAUCAAAUAGAAUGACUGCAAGAUUGAUAGUCCAAAGUUCAAGUCUCUCUCAAGAUCUCUAAACGUAUUACUAUGUGAUCUAAAGCAAAUGGUCCCCUGCCCCCACAUCUCUCAUCUCUCCCCCUGCCCCAACCCUUUCUUCUUAUCUGUCUUGCUCUUUCUUGAAUUGUACCUAACAGGAAUGCAAAUAGAAAAUAAAACUUCAUCCCUUGCCCAAAUGUUGUUGUGACAAUAGAAAGAAACAAAGACACUGAUCUUUUUCUGAAAGAAACACUGCUUAGAGUCAAAGUAUUAUUUAUCAGGCUGAUGCUGAAGGAUGACUCAGAGCAAUGAGUGAAGUGCUAUUCUCUGGUACUUACCCUCUCCUGUACAGCAGUGGGGGAUUACUUAAAAUUUUAAUGGCACACAGACCUCUGCACUGGGGUGCUACAUCAAGGGUCAGACUACUACAUAAGAACCUGACUGAAUCACAUUAUCCCAUCAGGAGUUUGAGUUUUAAUUGCUUCUUUACCCCUUGAUCCUCUGAAGACUGUCAUUAAACAUUUACAAGACAUGAUCCUGCCAAUAUCUUUCUGAGAUUACCCAGCUGGACAUUUUAAUCCAAGAUAGAAGAGCCCUGCACACAUGAGGCAAGACUAUUCUCAAUGUGGAACAACAAGGGCAAUAUAUGAGUGGUUUGCAGAACAAAUAUCAAUUUUUUUCUUUAUGUUGAAACUUGAAUGUAUGUUUGGUUCAUAACUGUGAGACUCAUGCAGACUGCUUAAGAACACACACACAUAGC